rnacentral:rRNA from 1 species
GUGAGGAAUUUUGCGCAAUGGGGGCAACCCUGACGCAGCGACGCCGCGUGGAGGACGAAGUCUUUCGGGAUGUAAACUCCUGUCAGUGGGGACGAUAAUGACGGUACCCACAGAGGAAGCACCGGCUAACUCCGUGCCAGCAGCCGCGGUAAGACGGAGGGUGCAAGCGUUGUUCGGAAUUACUGGGCGUAAAGCGUAUGUAGGCGGCAAGUUAAGUUCAAUGUUAAAGCCCACGGCUCAACCGAGGAGAUGCAUUGAAUACUGGCUAGCUAGAGGAUGUUAGAGGAAGACGGAAUUCCCAGUGUAGCGGUGAAAUGCGUAGAUAUUGGGAGGAACAUCGGUAGCGAAAGCGGUCUUCUGGGACAUACCUGACGCUGAGGUACGAAAGCGUGGGGAGCAAACGGGAUUAGAAACCCCAGUAGUCC